CCCUUAGAUGUUCUGGGCCGCACGCGCGCUACACUGAUGCAUUCAACGAGUCUAAAACCUGCUCUGAUAGGGGUGGGUAAUCUUUUGAAUGUGCAUCGUGAUUGGGAUAGAUGAUUGCAAUUUUUCAUCUUCAACGAGGAAUGCCUAGUAAACGCAAGUCAUCAGCUUGCAUUGAUUACGUCCCCGCCCUUUGUACACACCGCCCGUCGCUCCUACCGAUUGAAUGAUCCGAUGAAUAUCAUGGAUUGAGGAUGUAAGCAGGUUCGCCUGUCUUCAUCUUCGAGAAGUGAAGUAAAUCUUAUCAUUUAGAGGAAGGAGAAGUCGUAACA
rnacentral:rRNA from 1 species